GUCCUCCCCUGAUCUCUCUCCGCCCACCUUGACUCGUGUUUCUGACUGCCUCUCUGCUAUUUCCAACUGGAUGGCUGCUCACUUCCUUAAACUCAACCUGUCCAAAACAGAACUUCUAGUUUUUCCUCCCUCAAGUGCUGCUACUCCUGUGUGUCGCCAUCCAAGUCAACGGCGCUACUAUCACCUCUACCUCCCAGGCUCGCUGCCUAGGAGUUCUUUUUGAUUCUGAUCUCUCUUUUACUCCCCAUGUUCAAUCGAUAGCCAAAUCCUGUCGUUUCCAACUCAAG
rnacentral:lncRNA from 1 species